UACGUAGGCAGCGAGCGUUGUUCGGAGUUACUGGGCGUAAAGAGUGCGUAGGCGGUGCUCUAAGUUUGGUGUGAAAUCUCCCGGCUCAACUGGGAGGGUGCGCCGAAAACUGGAGUGCUCGAGUAUGGGAGAGGUAAGCGGAAUUCCUGGUGUAGCGGUGAAAUGCGUAGAUAUCAGGAGGAACACCUGCGGUGUAGACGGCU
rnacentral:rRNA from 1 species